CCCGACCUGCACGCCCAGAGAGAAGGGAUAGGAGCACCAGGACAGACAGACGCUCCGGAAACCUGCUCCUUCAUCCUUCACACCGCUGUCCUGAGAGCCUGCAGAAGCCGUGUAUGCUAAAACUGCCCCCCCCCCCAGUGCUCCCACACUGAGCUAGGCAGAGAUGGAGGAGGAACUCGGGUCCUGGCUUCAGCCCUCGCCUCUCUCACACCUGUUGGGUACAUUACGAACCUCUCUGAAAGUCAGUCAGCCUCCACAGCUACCACACGAAAUUAGGGAUAGCACACAAUUCAAUAGGACAAGGCCUGUGAAUGUUUGGAGUAACAUGCGCUGGGCACGUGGAAUGCUCCAUAAAGGGAAAUGGCAGGGGACAGAGGCACAAGGCUCUUCUGCGGCAGAGGGCCCUCUGCAUGUUGCUUAUGCUUGGCCCACUAGGAAGGAAGGUCACUGUCUCCCUACCACAUCACCUGCUCCUCCAAAGACGUGACUCUCAUUACAACAUCCACACCUCCUCCUUGUCCACAGCACCAUGUGGACACCCGGUACCAGGGACACUGUCACAAAAGGCCGGGGCAGGAAGGAAAGGAAGAGGGUGCCUGUACACACCUCUCAUUCUGUAGAAAACUAAAGAGAGGCGCCCAAGGCCACGUGGGAUCCCCGUGCCACGCCAGGGUCUCCAGUGCCCGGCAGGGCAUCGGGUUUUAUCCACAGCACUGCACAUUCACAGCUGUCUAGGUGUUGGGUUUACUCAAUGUUCAACUCCAUUCCCAUGCCGUCUGGUGCUUCGUAAGUGGGGCGUCUCUGCUCCCGGCAGGAGAGGCACGUGACAAAGAGGAAAUCUCACGAAGGGAACAGGAAAUGCCCCACAGCAGCCCACGGUGUGUUCUGAAGAGUCACAGGACAGUGGCCACUGGGGGAGGCUCUCUGGGGGUUGGCCAGUCUGGCCAGCGGGGACAAGUCACCCAAUAUACAAGAAAAGAAGGGAAGAGAGUGCGCCAUGAACGCAAAGACUGAGUCCUCAGAAGUGCUUUGUUCUGUUACCACCUGAGCAGUUGUCUGUGUGGGACUGCAGGUACAACAGGCACCACGACGUUUUUGAGGUACUGAGAAAACAGCACGAUGAGGAAGAUGGUCCUGAAACAGAAGCAAAUGGCCACGCCCACUUGGUGGGCUGACUUCUUCCUGGUGGAGCCGGGGUACCCUUUCCAGGCUCCGGGAGUGGGCCAGGGACUGAGCCAUCAUGUCCCAGUGGCACCCGUGGCUUCGCUGGUCCCUGUAGGAAGCACAGGCAGAGUCCUGCCAUCCCCGAGGAGGCCCUGAGGAGGAGUCAAGCCCCAUUGGGAGACGCUGCUGGCUGAGGGGAAAUAGCGGAGGAGGAGGAGACUGUCACUUCUGGGAGUCGGAGAGAAAUGAUCAGCUGGUAGCUGAUCAAGCCAGCCAUGAGAGCCACCGAGGCCGGAGUCUGAGAUAUCUCCCAGGCAGUUCUGCACAUCUGAUGCCCCUCACAUGUCUCUCAGAGCACAAGGGGGUGCUCUGAGUGAAUGAGAACGCCACCCCUAAGCUCCCGUGUAAAAGCCUCCUUGAUUGUCACAGCCCCCACACGCCCCCCAGCCCUGCACACACACAGCACCCUCUGACUCGCGGCUGUCCCCCAGUAUUGCAGGUUAUUGGCUCUGUCUUCUCUCACACACUAUAAACACCCUUGCGAGCUGGGGCCAUCCUUUGUACCCUCCUCAGCUCAAUGAAACCCUAGCUGGCAAGGGACCAGCAGAGUCAAGUCUUCAUAAAUACUACCUGUUCUUAUA